rnacentral:rRNA from 1 species
GACGAACCGUGCAAACGUUAUUCGGAAUCACUGGGCUUAAAGGGCGCGUAGGCGGGCAAGCAAGUCUAGGGUGAAAGCCCCCAGCUUAACUGGGGAAGUGCCUUGGAUACUGCUUGUCUGGAGGGAGGUAGGGGCGUGCGGAACUUCCGGUGGAGCGGUGAAAUGCGUAGAUAUCGGAAGGAACACCGAUGGCGAAAGCAGCGCGCUGGACCUCUUCUGACGCUGAGGCGCGAAAGCCAGGGGAGCAAACGGG